AACAUCGCCUCCUGCAAAAAUCAAUGUAUAGGAGGUCCUGCCUGCCCAGUGACAACUUGUUAAACGGCCGCGGUAUUUUGACCGUGCUAAGGUAGCGCAAUCACUUGUCUUUUAAAUGAAGACCUGUAUGAAUGGUGGAACGAGGGCUUAACUGUCUCCCUUCUCCCGUCAAUGAAAUUGAUCUGCCCGUGCAGAAGCGGACAUACAUAUACAAGACGAGAAGACCCUUUGGAGCUUAUUGGGGCGACCGCGGGGGAAAACAAAGCCCCCAUGUAAAACUAAGAGAGACAUCUCUAAGCCACAGAAUAUCUGACCAAAAGAUCCGGCCCACAAGCCGAUCAACGAACCAAGUUACCCUAGGGAUAACAGCGCAAUCCCCUCCAAGAGUUCAUAUCGACGAGAGGGUUUACGACCUCGAUGUUGGAUCAGGACAUCCUAAUGGUGCAGCCGCUAUUAAGGGUUCGUUUGUUCAACGAUUAAAGUCCUACGUGAUCU
rnacentral:rRNA from 1 species